GAUGAACGCUGGCGGCGUGCUUAAUACAUGCAAGUCGAACGAAGCGCCUCUCCCGAAGAUAGACCCAGCUUGCUGGGGAUUGAUUCACCUGAGGUGACUGAGUGGCGGACGGGUGAGUAACGCGUGGGUAACCUGCCUUAUACAGGGGGAUAACAGGUGGAAACGACUGCUAAUACCGCAUAAGCGCACAGUACCGCAUGGUACAGUGUGAAAAACUCCGGUGGUAUAAGAUGGACCCGCGUCUGAUUAGCUAGUUGGUGAGGUAAGGGCUUACCAAGGCAACGAUCAGUAGCCGACUUGAGAGAGUAAUCGGCCACAUUGGGACUGAGACACGGCCCAAACUCCUACGGGAGGCAGCAGUAGGGAAUAUUGCACAAUGGGGGAAACCCUGAUGCAGCGACGCCGCGUGAAGGAUGAAGUAUUUCGGUAUGUAAACUUCUAUCAGCAAGGAAGAAAAUGACGGUACUUGACUAAGAAGCCCCGGCUAAAUACGUGCCAGCCGCCGCUGUAA
rnacentral:rRNA from 1 species